UACAGAGGUCUCAACCGUUGUUCGGAUUCAUUGGGCGUAAAGGGUGCGUAGGCGGUCGCGCAAGUCGGAUGUGAAAUCUCAGGGCUCAACCCUGAAACUGCAUUCGAUACCUGCGUGGCUAGAGUGCUGGAGAGGAGACUGGAAUUUACGGUGUAGCAGUGAAAUGCGUAGAUAUCGUAAGGAAGACCAGUGGCGAAGGCGAGUCUCUGGACAGCAACUGACGCUGAGGCACGAAGGCCCAGGGGAGCAAACGGG
rnacentral:rRNA from 1 species